AAUUAUUAGAUAAUAGAAUGUCACGAGAUGUCGAGGUGAUCUGGAAAUUUAAUUGGUGUUGCUAUGCUUAUAAUUGAGGUACUUAUAAUUGGAGAUGUAGGCCUAUAACCAUAGGCACAUGAUCAUUGUGGUAUUUCAUUUUUUUUAAAAUUGAGAUAUUUUAUAGACUCCGAACUUUGGAGAAUUUUAAAUUGCUAUUUAUUUGAGGUUAUUAUUAUAUGAGGAGAUUUAUUUAUCAUUUUAU